AGCUCUGUGGUGUAUGGCACGUCAGAUUGCAAAUCUGAAGAUGUAGGCUAGCUGCCUGCCGGGGCUU
rnacentral:tRNA from 1 species